rnacentral:lncRNA from 1 species
AUGAAGAUCAGGCUGUCUUUGGCUGCCGCUGCACUCUUUACUAUAUUACUGAAUUCAGUAGAGGCUCAAGUGGAGCCUCCUUCAGACUUGAAAUUUAAAAUCUUAAAUGAAAACACAGUGCAUAUGUCAUGGAGGAGGCCUUCGUCUCAGAUACAGGGCUACAGAAUACAAGUCAUAUCAGAUACAGAUUAUUUGAAAGAUUUCAGUCUUCCUGCCUCGGUCACAAACACAUCAAUCACGGAUUUAACUCCAGAUGUAGACUAUUCAGUGUCUAUCAAUUCAUAUGAUGGUGCGGAAGAAAGUAUCCCUAUCCUUGGACAAAUAACAAGUAAUACCGGUGCCAAAACAAAUCCAAUUGAAAUUCCAGAAAACCUGUUCUCAAGAUGGACAUUUCACAGUAAAUGUUCAGUGAGUGCUAUCGCGGAUCUGGUUUUCCUGGUGGAUGGCUCUUGGAGCGUGGGAAGAGAAAACUUUAAAUUCAUCCGGAGUUUCAUUGGGGCCAUGGCGGGAGCUUUUGACAUUGGAGAGGAUAAGACCAGAGUGGCUGUGGUGCAGUACAGCUCAGAUACCAGGACAGAGUUCAACCUGAACCAGUAUUACAGGCGGCCUGAUGUCCUGCGAGCCAUUAAAAAUCUGCCCUACAAGGGUGGUAACACCAUGACAGGUGAUGCAAUGGACUAUCUGGUGAAAAACACUUUCACUGCGGCGGCUGGAGCCAGGAAAGGCUUUCCAAAAGUAGCCAUGAUCAUCACGGAUGGAAAGUCACAAGACCCAGUAGGGGAGUACGCAGAACGCCUGAGGAACAUUGGAGUAGAGAUCUUUGUCCUGGGUAUCAAAGGAGCAGAUGAGGAUGAGUUAAAGGAGAUAGCCUCCACUCCCCACAGCAAGCAUAUCUAUAAUGUCCCAAACUUCGACAUGAUCAAUCAGUUGCAGCUGGAGCUCAUCACGCAGGUGUGCUCUGGUGUGGAGGAGCAGCUAAAUUUGCUUGCAAGCGGAGAGGAAGUUGUUGAACCAGCUUCAGACCUCAGAGUAACUGACGUCUCCUCCAAAUCCAUGAGAAUUAGGUGGGAUUCGUCUCCUGGUGACAUCACAGGCUAUAAGCUGCAGGUCUUCCCCAUGAUUGCUGGCGCCAAGAAGCAGGAGCUCUACACAGGGCCCACAUUCACCGUGGCCAAUGUCAGAGACCUGUCUCCUGAGACAGAGUAUGAGAUCAGUCUGUUUGCCCUCAAAGGUCUGACUCCUAGUAAGCCACAAGUUGUCAACGAGAAAACACAGCCUGUGAAGGUGUCUACAGAGUGCUCCCAAGAGGUCGAGGUCCAAGCUGAUAUUGUCCUCCUGGUCGAUGGCUCGUACAGUAUAGGACUGUCUAACUUUGCUAAAGUUAGAGCCUUCCUUGAAGUGCUCGUCAAUUCUUUUGACAUCGGACCCAACAAAGUGCAGAUCAGCUUGGUUCAGUACAGCCGGGAUCCACACACUGAGUUUGCCCUGAACAAGCACGAUGACAAUGCAGCUGUGCUCAAUGCAGUCCGCACCUUCCCCUACCGUGGAGGCUCCACCAACACUGGCAAGGCCAUGACCUACGUAAGGGAAAAGAUCUUCAUUCCAGCCCGUGGCGCUCGUGAUAACGUGCCCCGAGUCAUGGUGCUCAUCACAGAUGGUAAAUCCUCGGAUUCUUUCAAAAACCCUGCCAACAAACUAAGGGAUGCAGACGUGGAGAUUUUCGCCGUGGGAGUCAAGGACGCCGUGCGCUCCGAGCUGGAGGCGAUUGCCAACGCACCUGCUGAUAACCAUGUGUUUGAGGUGGAAGACUUUGAUUCCUUUCAGCGGAUCUCCAAGGAACUAACCACAUCCAUCUGUCUAAGAAUUGAGCAGGAGCUCCAUAACAUCAAGAAAAGAAGUUUGGUUCCACCAAAGUCGCUAAGCUUCUCUGAGGUCACCUCCAGAAGCUUCAGGACCUCGUGGAUUUCUGACGGAGAGGAUGUCCUGUCUUUUCUGGUGCGUUUCAGGCCAGCGGCUGACGUAACUGGAGACUACAUCUCUUUGGUGGUUCCUCCUGACACCACCACUACGAUUUUGCCCAAUCUCACGCCCCUGACCACUUACGAGGUUAAUGUCAUCGCCCAGUAUGAUAAAGGAGACAGUUUUCCUUUGACAGGCGAGGAGACGACUUUAGAAGGCUCUGUCCGUAACCUCGUGGUGAGUGAUGAGACCGUAGACAGCUUCCGCGUGUCGUGGAGAGCCGCUCCAGGAGCAGUGCUGAGGUACAGACUGUUGUAUGAGCCAGUGGGUGGAGGAGAUAAACUGGAAGCACAGACUGAUGGGAGUCAGGUCACCAUUGUGCUCCACGAACUGCUACCCGUCACCACUUACCGUGUCACAGUGUACCCCGAGUAUGCAAGUGGAAUGGGUCCCUCCAUGGACACUGAGGUCCGGGGCUCUCCACGUGACCUGAGGGUCUUCAACGAGACCGUGUCCAGCAUGAGGGUCUCAUGGCGGGCCGCUCCAGGCAAUGUGCUGCAAUAUCAAGUGGCCUACAAACCUGAUGGUGGGGAAAGAAAAGAAAUGUUUGUUAAAGGAGACGCAACAACGGCUUUGCUGAGAAAUCUGUCACCAGACACCGAGUAUGAGAUCUUCGUUAGUGCCCGUUACACCUCUGGCCUCGGAGCGCCACUGAUGGGAACAGGCACUACUCUGGAAGAACUCGGCUCACCUACGAAUCUGGUUACUUCAGAUGUCACUGAGAGCAGUUUUGUGGCAUCCUGGACUGCCGCCCCUGGCAACGUCCGCCUUUAUCGGGUCACCUGGAAAUCCCUCUUUUCAGAGGAAGCUGGCGAGAAAACCGUCCCCGGGGACAUAACCACCACUGUUCUGGACGGACUGACUCCGGAGACCCGCUACAAGGUUUCUGUCUACGCUGCCUACAGCAGUAAGGAGGGAGAGCCACUCCAUGGAGAGGAGACCACAGAUGGUAAAGUUCUUACGGUUUCAGAAGAAACAGAGAGGACCAUACGAGUAACAUGGCAGCCAGCACCUGGCAAUGUUGUCAAUUAUAGGGUAUCGAAUAAACCUCAGGGUNNNNNNNNNNNNNNNNNNNNNNNNNNNNNNNNNNNNNNNNNNNNNNNNNNNNNNNNNNNNNNNNNNNNNNNNNNNNNNNNNNNNNNNNNNNNNNNNNNNNNNNNNNNNNNNNCUUCUCUCUUGCAUUUUUCUUAUAUAUAUAUAUAUAUAUAUAUAUAUAUGUAUAUGUGUGUGUGUAUAUAUGUAUAUACUGUAUAUAUGUGUGUGUAUAUAUUGAGUGUGUUUGGUAUGUUUGAUGGAGGAGAGAGUAUGCCACUGGCUGGAGAGGAGAAGACCACCCUCUCUGACGCCCCUGAACCCCCACCCUUUGAUAUUUCAGAGGUAAUGUGCAAAACCACAGCCCAGGCCGAUAUCAUCCUGCUUGUUGAUGGAUCUUGGAGCAUUGGUCGUCUGAACUUCAAGACUAUAAGGUCUUUCAUUGCUCGCAUGGUGGGUGUCUUUGACAUCGGGCCGGAUCGUGUCCAGAUCGGUCUGGCACAAUACAGUGGAGACCCAAAGACUGAGUGGCACCUAAACUCUCACAGGACCAGAAAAGAGCUGCUGGAUGCCGUGGCCAAUCUACCCUACAAAGGAGGAAACACUCUGACUGGCCUUGCUUUAAACUACAUCCUUCAGAACAAUUUCAAGGCUAAUGUUGGAAUGCGUCCGAACUCUCGGAAGAUCGGCGUCCUGGUUACUGAUGGCAAGUCUCAGGAUGACAUCAUGGUCAACUCUCAGAACCUACGCGACCAGGGCAUUGAGCUGUAUGCCAUUGGUGUGAAGAACGCAGAUGAGAAUGAGCUGAGAUCCAUUGCUUCAGAUCCCGAUGACAUCCACAUGUACAAUGUGGCUGACUUCUCCUUCCUGCUGGACAUCGUGGACGACCUGACAAACAACCUAUGUAACAGUGUCAAGGGUCCAGGUAUCACUGAGCCACCCACUGAUCUAACGACCUCAGAAGUGACCCAUUACUCCUUCCGCGCCACCUGGGUUGCCCCUGAUGGACCCGUGGAGAAGUACAGAAUAGAGUAUGUGAGCAUCGCAGGAGGAGAACCACAAAAGUUGCUUGUCGACGGGACGGUGACGACUGUGGUCUUGGAGAAUCUCACUCCGCUGACGGAGUACAUCGUGAAGGUUCACUCAGUGGUGGGAGAGGACAGCAGCGACCCCCUCAAAGGCUCAGAGACGACAUUUACUGACGUCCAGCUGAAGAAACUUCGUCCCAACACGGCCUUCAGAGUUUCCGUCUUCGCCCUGUUCGGCGAUUUUGGCUUUCUUCCCCUCAGCAGGGAUUUGAGGAUCACAGACGUUACCCACAGCACCAUGCAGCUGGACUGGGAUCCAUCGCCCGGUGCCGUUCGUAAAUACAUAAUCACUUACAAGCCAGAGGAUGGAGAGUCGAAGGAGCUUGAAGUUGACGGAGAUGUAAUGUCUAGAGGACUGGAUAAUCUCAUUUCCCAAACGGAAUACGAUGUGGCUGUCACUCCUGUGUAUGAUUCUGGGACCGGAAACCCAAUGCUUAACCAAGCCAUUACAGACGUUGUCCCUGCCCCGAAGAAUUUGAGGUUCUCUCAAGUGACCCAGACCAGUUUCAGGGCUCACUGGGAGCACGGCGCUCCUGAUGUCUCCCUCUACCGCGUCGGCUGGACCAAGAAUGAACUUGACGAGGACACCACUCUCCUUCUGGAGAACCUGGAGCCAGACACCCUCUAUGAUGUUUCUGUCACUGCCAUUUACCCCGAUGAAUCUGAGAGCGAAGAUCUUCUGGGCAGCCAACGCACAUCUCCUAGUGGACCUCCUCAGAACCUCCAGGUGUUCAAUGCGACUACCACCUCCCUCACCACCAAGUGGGAUCACGCUCCUGGACGAGUGCAGAACUACAGGAUCACCUACGUACCGGUUGCAGGAGGAAGAUCACAGUCGAUUGGAGGGAAGAAAAACACAGUUAAUCUGCAGAAACUGACUCCAGACACUCCCUACUACAUCACAGUUGCUGCAGUCUAUGCGAAUGGAGAUGCCAAAGACAUUUCUGGCCAAGGAAAGACAUUACCACUGGGCAGUGUGAGAAACCUUCAGGUCACGGACCCCACGGUCAGCACUCUGAAUGUACGCUGGGAGCCGGCUGAAGGGAGCGUACGGCAAUACAGGAUUUACUACCAGACCGUCACAGGGGGCGCAGAAGACAUGGUCCAGGUUCCUGGAAGCACCACCAGUACAGUUCUGAAGAACCUGCAGUCUGAUACUGAGUACACAGUAACAGUGGUGCCAGUAUACGCUCCUGGAGAGGGCAAGCGCAUGUCGGAGAACGGAAAAACCUUGACGCGUACCCCUGCCAAGAACAUCCGGGUUUACAACCCCACCACAAACACCCUGAAUGUGCGCUGGGAGCCGGCCUCCGGAGAUGUGCUGCAGUACCGCGUCGCCUACACCCCCCUCUCUGGAACCCGUUCCGCUCAAUCUGUGCUCGUUCCAGGGAACACCCACACUGCCUUGCUGCAGCAGCUCGAUUCAGACACAGACUAUGCUGUGAGUGUGGUGGCUCUGUAUGCUGACGGCGAGGGCUCCUCUGUGUCAGAUAAUGGAAAAACAAUGCCCCGCGGCGGCCCUAGGAACCUGCGUGUGUAUGAUCCGACCACCAGCACGCUGUCUGUCAGCUGGGAGCAUGCAGAAGGACCCGUGCUGCAGUACCGCAUUGGCUAUGCACCCACCACUGGAGAUCCCAUUGAGGAGUUUACAAGUGUCCCUGGCAACAGGAACUCUGUCAUCUUGCAAAACCUGCAGCCAGACACUCCGUACAACAUCAACGUAGAGGCUAUUUAUCAAGAUGGGCCUGGAGGACAACUGUCUGGAGAUGGAAAAACAUUGGGUCUCUUGGAGCCUCGUAACCUGCGUGUUUCUGAUGAGUGGUACACUCGUUUCCGAGUGUCCUGGGAUCCUGUACCUGCGCGGGUCAACGGUUAUAAUCUGGUCUAUACCCCAGUGGGCACGGAUAACACCAUGGAAGUGUUUGUUGGAGAUGUUACUACACACAUCCUGCACAACCUCCAGCCUGGCACCACGUACGACCUGAAGGUUUACGCUCAGUAUGACGCAGGCGUGAGCGGCGCUCUGGUCGGACAAGGAACCACCUUGUACCUUAAUGUGACUGACCUCACCACAUACAAUGUCGGCUAUGACUCCUUCUGCAUCAGAUGGACGCCUCACCGAGCCGCCACCUCUUACAGGCUAAAACUCAAUCCUUUCAAUUCGGCUAACCGUGGGGCUCAGGAGGUCACUAUCACUGCCGCUGAGAGCCAGUACUGUUUUGAUGGGCUGACGCCAGACGCGCUGUACAACGCCACAGUCUACACACAGACCCCCAACCAGGAGGGGCCCGGAGUCAGUGUCAAAGAGCGCACACUGGUGAAGCCCACCGUAGCCCCAACACCACCUCCAACUCCUCCACCACCACCCACCAUCCCUGCUGCACUCGAGGUGUGCAAAGGAGCCAAGGCUGACCUGGUGUUCCUGAUCGACGGCUCGUGGAGCAUUGGAGAUGACAGCUUCAUUAAAGUCCGUCAGUUUCUCUUCAGCAUGAUCGGAGCAUUUGAUGUCAUCAACCGUGAUGGCAUGCAGGUGUCUUUUGUGCAGUACAGUGAUGAAGCUAAAACUGAGUUCAAACUGAACACCUACCACGACAAGGGAAUGGUGCUGUCCGCCCUUCAGAUGGUCAAAUACAGAGGAGGAAACACCAAAACAGGUGCUGCGCUGAAGCAUAUCGGAGACAAAGUGUUCACAUCAGACAGUGGUAUGAGGAGAACCGUUCCCAAGGUUCUGGUCGUAGUAACUGACGGCCGUUCUCAAGAUGAUGUGAAGAAGAGUGCUGCUAAACUACAGCAUGCAGGCUUCAGUGUGUUUGUGGUGGGUGUCGCAGACGUAGACACCGCUGAACUCAGGAACAUUGGAAGCAAGCCCAGCGAGAGACACGUCUUCAUCGUUGAUGACUUUGACGCGUUUACUAAGAUCCAAGACAACCUCAUUACAUUCAUCUGUGAAACGGCAACAUCCACUUGUCCUUUGAUUUACCUCGACGGAUUCACAUCCCCAGGCUUCAGGAUGCUGGAAGCCUUUAACAUCACUGACAAGACGUUUGCUGGCAUGAACGGCGUCUCCAUGGAGUCUGGCUCCUUCAACAGUUACAUUGCAUACAGACUCCAUAAGGAUGCAUUCAUUUCCCAGCCCACAAAGGAAAUCCAUCCAGAUGGUCUUCCUCCCGCAUACACUCUGAUUCUCCUCUUCCGUCUCCUCCCCGACACCGGCAAGGAUGCAUUUGAUAUUUGGCAGAUAUCAGAUAAGAACAACAACCCUGAGGUCGGGCUCACCAUUGACCCCUCCAGUAGAAUCAUCUCAUUCUACAAUAAGGACUCCAGAGGUGAAAUUCAGAAAGUCUCCUUUGAUAACGACCGAGUGAAGAAAGUUUUCCACGGCAGUUUCCACAAGCUUCACAUUUCUAUUUCACCGAAAAAUGUCAAACUCAACAUUGACUGCCAAGAGGUGGCUGAGAAAGAGAUCAAAGAGGCCAACAACAUAUCCACAGAUGGCUAUGAAGUCCUUGGAAAAAUGGCAAAGUCUGGCGGUUCAAGGAAGCAGUCAGCCACAUUCCAGCUCCAGAUGUUUGAUAUUGUCUGCAGUUUGGGCUGGACAAGUCGAGACAAAUGUUGUGAUAUUCCAGCAAUGAGAGAUGAAGCCAAAUGUCCCGCUCUUCCUCACUCCUGCACAUGUGCUCAGGACAGCGUUGGUCCUCCAGGCCCCGCGGGCCCUCCGGUAAGAUCAUUAGAGUCCCAUGACAUUUCCUCUGGUUCAAUGGGCCCACGUGGGGAGCAGGGUCUGCCAGGACAAAUGGGACCACCAGGUCCACAGGGCCCUAAUGGACUGUCUCUUCCUGGUGAACCAGUAAGUAAAGCACAAAACUCUGUCCAUUGCCAUUUGUCAAAUUUGUAUCGCCCCUUACAGAAUAUAAUUAAUACUGCGUCACAGAAUAUGAUGCGCUCUGUAGCAAGACAAGUCUGCGAACAACUAGUCAGCAGUAAGGCACUUCAAAAUAAUAACAAAAAAUAUUCCAGUCACUGUUGCAGGCGAAGUAAAGGAUGCUUUCUUACACCUCCUCUCUUUCCAGGGCCACCGGGGCAGUCUCAGAUAGGACCCCCUGGUCCCUCAGGCUCAGCGGGGCCCCGGGGCCCACCAGGGCAGCAGGGUGGACCCGGAGUCAGAGGACCACCAGGACCUCCAGGAUACUGUGACUCCUCUCAGUGUGUAGGCAUCCCUUACAAUGGACAGGGUUACCCAGGUAAGCACAGUACAGUUGAGUGA